rnacentral:rRNA from 1 species
AUUGAACGCUAGCGGCAGGCCUAACACAUGCAAGUCGAACGAGUGGCGGACGGGUGAGUAAUGUCUGGGAAACUGCCCGAUGGAGGGGGAUAACUACUGGAAACGGUAGCUAAUACCGCAUACCAUCGGAUGUGCCCCGAUGGGAUUAGCUAUUAGGUGGGGUAACGGCUCACCUAGGCGACGAUCCCUAGCUGGUCUGAGAGGAUGACCAGCCACCAUGGAACGUAGACACGGUCCAGACUCCUACGGUAGGCAGCAUUGGGGAAUAUGGCACAAUGGGCGCAAGCCGGAGGCAGCCAUGCCGCGUGUAUGAAGAAGGCCUUCGGGUUGUAAAGUACUGUCAGCGGGGAGGCGUUACCCGCAGAAGAAGCACCGGCUAACUCCGUGCCAGCAGCCGCGGUAAUUC